rnacentral:rRNA from 1 species
CGGGACGGGUGAGUAAUGUCUAGGGAAACUGCCUGAGGGAGGGGGAUAACUACUGGAAACGGUAGCUAAUACCGCAUAACGUCGCAAGACCAAAGAGGGGGACCUUCGGGCCUCUUGCCAUCGGAUGUGCCCAGAUGGGAUUAGCUAGUAGGUGGGGUAACGGCUCACCUAGGCGACGAUCCCUAGCUGGUCUGAGAGGAUGCCAGCCACACUGGAACUGAGACACGGUCCAG